rnacentral:rRNA from 1 species
GAUGAACGCUGGCGGCGUGCCUAAUACAUGCAAGUCGAGCGAACGGACGAGAAGCUUGCUUCUCUGAUGUUAGCGGCGGACGGGAGAGUAACACGUGGAUAACCUACCUAUAAGACUGGGAUAAUUUCGGGAAACGGGAUCAAAUACGGGAUAAUAUUUUGAACCGAAGGGUUCAAAAGUAAAAGACGGCCUUGCUGUCACUAAUGGAGGCUUCCGAGCUGCAUAGGCUAGUUGGUAAGGUACCGGCUUACCAAGGCAACGAGGCAUGGCCGACCUGAGAGGGGGAUCGGCGACCCGGGAGCUGAGACACGGUCCAGACUCCUACGGGAGGCAGCAGUAGGGAAUCUUCCGCAAUGGGCGAAAGCCUGACGGAGCAACGCGGCGUGAGUGAUGAAGGUCUUCGGAUCGUAAAACUCUGUUAUUAGGGAAGAACAUAUGUGUAAGUAACUGUGCACAUCUUGACGGUACCUAAUCAGAAAGCCACGGCUAACUACGUG